AGUGAACGCUGGCGGUAGGCCUAACACAUGCAAGUCGAACGGCAGCACAGUAAGAGCUUGCUCUUACGGGUGGCGAGUGGCGGACGGGUGAGGAAUACAUCGGAAUCUACUUUUUCGUGGGGGAUAACGUAGGGAAGCUUACGCUAAUACCGCAUACGACCUACGGGUGAAAGCAGGGGAUCUUCGGACCUUGCGCGAUUGAAUGAGCCGAUGUCGGAUUAGCUAGUUGGCGGGGUAAAGGCCCACCUAGGCGACGAUCCGUAGCUGGUCUGAGAGGGUGAUCAGCCACACUGGAACUGAGACACGAUCCAGACUCCUACGGGAGGCAGAGGUGGGGAAUAUUGGACAAUGGGCGCAAGCCUGAUCCAGCCAUACCGCGUGGGUGAAGAAGGCCUUCGGGUUGUAAAGCCCUUUUGUUGGGAAAGAAAAGCAGCAGGUUAAUACCCCGCUGUUCUGACGGUACCCAAAGAAUAAGCACCGGCUAACUUCGUG
rnacentral:rRNA from 1 species